AUGCAAGUUGAACGAGAAGCCCGCCCUUUUAUCCUUCGGGAUAAAAGGGCAGGCAGAAAGUGGCGAACGGGUGAGUAACGCGUGGGUAAUCUACCCUGUAAGUGGGGAAUAACCCUUCGAAAGGAGGGCUAAUACCGCAUAAUCUCUCUCCAUCACAAGACGGAAAGAGAAAAGAUGGCCUCUGUAUAUGCUAUCGCUUCAGGAUGAGCCCGCGUCCUAUUAGUUAGUUGGUGAGGUAAUGGCUUACCAAGACUGCAAUGGGUAGCCGGUCUGAGAGGAUGUACGGCCACACUGGGACUGAGAUACGGCCCAGACUCCUACGGGAGGCAGCAGUGGGGAAUCUUAGACAAUGGGCGCAAGCCUGAUCUAGCCAUGCCGCGUGAGUGAUGAAGGCCUUAGGGUCGUAAAGCUCUUUCGCUGGGGAAGAUAAUGACUGUACCCAGUAAAGAAACCCCGGCUAACUCCGUGCCAGCAGCCGCGGUAAUACGGAGGGGGUUAGCGUUGUUCGGAAUUACUGGGCGUAAAGCGCGCGUAGACGGAUUAGUAAGUUAGAGGUGAAAUCCCAGGGCUCAACCUUGGAACUGCCUUUAAUACUGCUAGUCUUGAGUCCGAGAAAGGGGAGUGGAAUUCCCAGUGUAAAGGUGGAAUUCGUAAAUUUCCGGAAGAACCCCAGUGGCAAAGGGG
rnacentral:rRNA from 1 species